rnacentral:misc_RNA from 1 species
GUAAGAUAAAUUAAAAAAAAAAAAUCAUAAAAUCCCACAACACACACCCCAUGUAGAUCUAGAUCCUAUGCUGACAUAAUUUAGCUAACCACAAUCAAAGCUAUACAUUAACAGCACUAAUUAGGUACCGCGUCUGUGCCUGCCAGUCGCGUAUUUGGGUAAGCAAGCUCAAUCUUCCCCUUGAAAAAAUAAGGGAGAAUGGAUUGC